UCCCCAAUAUCGUCAACGCGGAUAGUUCGUUAGUCGAAAAUACUGAAUAAUUAAACAAACCAAAUGGCAUCACUGGUGGUUCUUUUUUCCACUCCGCUAAAUUGUCAUCUCAAACAAAAACAAAUGGAUCAUACAACUGCUAUGAAUACAUUCGACUCGUUCGCUUCUAUCAAUCGGUAAGUGAGAAAGAUGAUUUCUCCCAUCAGCACAGUGCGGAUUUCCACUUUUAUCACAGCAGCCAACAACAUCCGUUUUCCUGCAGCAGUAACCUCCAACCCCUGUUGGCAAUGUCGGGGGACAGCAUUAACAGCAGCAGCAGCAGAAUUUGACCAUGGUAUGGUAUUGCGAAGAACUUUUCCCAUUAGAGGUUCCGUGCUUCGCGCACAUUCAAAAAUCCUCUUCAGACACGAAAACUCAACGACAAGGAGGUAUUUAUCAACUUGCUCAGCUGAAUUACCACCCCGGAGGAACCCGAAUGCACUGAUUCCGUAGUAUAGUAGAAUGAAAAUAGGCGAGGUUAGCGAACGUAAUCGCAUGAUAUUUUAAUGUUCGCAUUUUUAUCCGGAUCAUACAACUGCUAUGAAUACAUCCGACUCAAUCAAUCGGCGAGUGAGAAAGAUGAUUUCCCUCAUCACCACAUUGCUUAUUUCCACUUCUGUCACACCAGCCAACAGCAUCAGCUUUCCCGCAGCAGUAUCCUUUAAGUCCAGGGUGCUAUUCCGGGGAACAGCAUCAACAGCAACAGCAGCAGGACCUGGCCAUCGAUAGUAUUUCGAGCAAUCCUCAUCGGAGAUCCCGUGCUUCACGCACAUUGAAGAAUCCUCCUCAGCCACAUAUCUGUGUCAUCAAGGGCAAGGAGGUAUUCAUCAAUGUACUCAGUCGGAUUUGAAUCGUCUAUCCAGACAACCCGGAUGCACCGAUUCCAUUAUAUACCUUAUUUUUAUUAUACAUGGUUUUUUAUUAUUUUUCUUCAAUAAAAUGAUUAAAAUCGAUCAA